rnacentral:rRNA from 1 species
CCUGACUGCUAUCGGAUUGAUACUAAGCCAUGCGAGUCAUUGCAGUAAUGCAAGGCAGACGGCUCAGUAACGCGUAGUCAACCUACCCUAUGGACGGGAAUAACCUCGGGAAACUGAGUAUAAUGCCCGAUAGAACACUAUACCUGGAAUGGUUUGUGUUCCAAAUGAAUGUCGCCGUAGGAUGGGACUGCGGCCUAUCAGUUUGUUGGUGAGGCAAUGGCCCACCAAGACUAUUACAGGUACGGGCUCUGAGAGGAGUAGCCCGGAGAUGGGUACUGAGACACGGACCCAGGCCCUAUGGGGCGCAGCAGGCGAGAAAACUUUGCAAUGUGCGAAAGCACGACAAGGUUAAUCCGAGUGGUUUGUGCUAAACGAACCUUUUGACAGUCCUAGAAACACUGUUGAAUAAGGGGUGGGCAAGUUCUGGUGUCAGCCGCCGCGGUAAAACCAGCACCUCAAGUGGUCAGGAUGAUUAUUGGGCCUAAAGCAUCCGUAGCCGGCUCUGUAAGUUUUCGGUUAAAUCUGUACGCUCAACGUACAGGCUGCCGGGAAUACUGCAGAGCUAGGGAGUGGGAGAGGUAGACGGUACUCGGUAGGAAGGGGUAAAAUCCUUUGAUCUAUUGAUGACCACCUGUGGCGAAGGCGGUCUACCAGAACACGUCCGACGGUGAGGGAUGAAAGCUGGGGGAGCAAACCGGAUUAGAUACCCGGGUAGUCCCAGCUGUAACUAUGCAAACUCAGUGAUGCAUUGGC